rnacentral:rRNA from 1 species
UACAGAGGGUGCGAGCGUUAAUCGGAAUUACUGGGCGUAAAGCGCACGUAGGUGGCGACGUAAGUCGGGUGUGAAAGCCCCGGGCUCAACCUGGGAAUUGCAUUCGAGACUGCAUUGCUGGAGUACGGAAGAGGAGGGCGGAAUUCCCGGUGUAGCGGUGAAAUGCUUAGAUAUCGUGAGGAACUUCAGUGGCGAAGGCGGCCCUCUGGUCCAGUACUGACACUCAAGUGCGAAAGCGUUGGGAGCAAACAGG